GUGUCGUCUGGCGGUGGAGUCCGCCUGAACCGCCGUUCCGACCGGACGGCCAAUGACUCCUGCGGGCCC
rnacentral:ncRNA from 2 species